GAUGAACGCUGGCGGCGUGCCUAAUACAUGCAAGUCGAGCGAACAGACGAGGAGCUUGCUCCUCUGACGUUAGCGGCGGACGGGUGAGUAACACGUGGAUAACCUACCUAUAAGACUGGGAUAACUUCGGGAAACCGGAGCUAAUACCGGAUAAUAUAUUGAACCGCAUGGUUCAAUAGUGAAAGACGGUUUUGCUGUCACUUAUAGAUGGAUCCGCGCCGCAUUAGCUAGUUGGUAAGGUAACGGCUUACCAAGGCAACGAUGCGUAGCCGACCUGAGAGGGUGAUCGGCCACACUGGAACUGAGACACGGUCCAGACUCCUACGGGAGGCAGCAGUAGGGAAUCUUCCGCAAUGGGCGAAAGCCUGACGGAGCAACGCCGCGUGAGUGAUGAAGGUCUUUGGAUCGUAAAACUCUGUUAUUAGGGAAGAACAAAUUUGUAAGUAACUAUGCACGUCUUGACGGUACCUAAUCAGAAAGCCACGGCUAACUACGUG
rnacentral:rRNA from 1 species